GAACUCACUGAGGCAGCCUGCCAUCUAGCUUUUUCACAGCAAAAUAGGCUUGCAGACUGCAGAUGAGAGACUCGGGAGCAGAGACAAUUUUAACUUAGCCAUCCCUAAUUUAUCUCAAGCUUUUUCAAUUCAUCUUCACUGCUCUGUGCACACUGGAACACCAGAUUGUCAACCCCUGGGAACUGAAUGCAACCAGGGAUCUAGAGAGCUGUCACAUCCUGAGAAAUAUUUAAAUUGUGCUGAUUUUCUUCUGGAGUGCUGAGCAGAGGGAAUGAAACUCUCCAUCAAGUCAUAGCUUUGCGGGCAAUAGAUCAGAGGAUACUGCCAGUUUUUCUAAUGGAUUAUUGUUAUCGGGCAGGUUCUUCCUGAAGAGUCUUUUUAGUGCAGCAGCUAUAUCUUGGAUUUUGUUGUGUGACCUUGAUAACUGCUGUCAAGCCCUUCAGAUAACUGCCAGAUUUGUCAAGAUUAAAAGGGUGAACACUCUGCAAAUGGUACAUUUCUACAUUUUGUGUCUCUCUUAUAAACCCGAAGAACAGUUUUGCGGAAGGUUGCUGGGAUCACAUGGUGUUAUGAGACGAGAUAAGUUUGCUGUCUUCUGAGAGAAAUUAUUGCUUGAUCCUCUCUAAACAAGACUUAUGGAAGUGGCCACACAAACCUGUCUGAACUCCAGUGACUCCAGAACUACUUGUCUUGAGCCUAAGACUUGAAAG
rnacentral:lncRNA from 1 species